GACGAACGCUGGCGGCGUGCUUAACACAUGCAAGUCGAACGGUGAAGCGCCUUCCUUUUUGGUGGGUGUGGAUGAGUGGCGAACGGGUGAGUAACACGUGAGUAACCUGCCCCCUUCUUCUGGAUAACCGCAUGAAAGUGUGGCUAAUACGGGAUAUUCUGGGUCUGUCGCAUGAUGGGUCUGGGAAAGAUAUUGUUUCGGUGGGGGAUGGGCUCGCGGCCUAUCAGCUUGUUGGUGGGGUGAUGGCCUACCAAGGCGGUGACGGGUAGCCGGCCUGAGAGGGUGGACGGUCACACUGGGACUGAGACACGGCCCAGACUCCUACGGGAGGCAGCAGUGGGGAAUAGUGCACAAUGGGCGCAAGCCUGAUGCAGCGACGCCGCGUGAGGGAUGGAGGCCUUCGGGUUGCGAACCUCUUUCGCCAGUGAAGCAGGCCUGCCUCGUUUGUGGGUGGGUUGACGGUAGCUGGAGAAGAAGCGCCGGCUAACUACGUG
rnacentral:rRNA from 1 species